UUGGAGGGCAGUCUGGUGCCAGCAGCCGCGGUAAUUCCAGCUCCAAUAGCGUAUAUUAAAGUUGUUGCAGUUAAAAAGCUCGUAGUUGAAUUUCGGGAUUCAUCCGUUGGUCGGGCUUCACGGUCCGCACUGGUGUGAUGGGUUCCUACCUUCUGAAUAACCGGCAUGCCAUUAAUUUGGUGCGCCGGGGAAGCAGAACUAUUACCUUGAAAAAAUUAGAGUGCUUAAAGCAGGCAAGUGCCUGAAUAGGUUAGCAUGGAAUAAUAAAAUAGGACGGCAUGGUUCUAUUUUGUUGGUUUCUAGGAUCACCGUAAUGAUUAAUAGGGAUAGUUGGGGGCAUUAGUAUUCAAUUGUCAGAGGUGAAAUUCUUGGAUUUAUUGAAGACUAACUUCUGCGAAAGCAUUUGCCAAGGAUGUUUUCAUUAAUCAAGAACGAAAGUUAGGGGAUCGAAGACGAUCAGAUACCGUCGUAGUCUUAACCAUAAACUAUGCCGACUAGGGAUCGGACGAUGUUAAUUUUUUAAUGACUCGUUCGGCGCCUUACGGGAAAC
rnacentral:rRNA from 1 species